rnacentral:ncRNA from 2 species
CACAUUCCGUCGGGGUGCCUUUGCUACGGCUUUGGCUGAGAGAUAGUGUCUAUCAACCCGGUGAACCUGAUCCGAUUAGUAUCGGCGUAGGGAACGGAUAAGAUCACACG